GCGCAGUAAGGGGAAUCUGGAUAACUUUGCUGAUCGUAUGGCCAUGUGCCGACGACGUUUCAAUUGAGUUUCUGCCCUAUCAACUUGUUGGUAAGGUAUUGGCUUACCAAGGUUGCAACGGGUAACGGGGAAUCAGGGUUCGAUUCCGGAGAGGGAGCCUGAGAAACGGCUACCACAUCCAAGGAAGGCAACAGGCGCGAAAAUUACCCAAUCUAGACAGUAGGAGGUGGUGAAGAGAAUUACUAGGUGGCGACUCAAUGAGUUGCCAGUUUGGAAUGAACGUAACUCAAGAAAUUCGAUGAGAAACAACUGGAGGGCAAGUCCUGGUGCCAGCAGCCGCGGUAAUUCCAGCUCCAGUAGUCUGCGCUAAAGUUGUUGCGUUUAAAACGCUCGUAGUUGGAUCACGCAGCUGUGCUCAGUAAUCUGAGUCGGCUGGCCACUCGACGCCGUUUCGACGAAAUCUUGUGCCACCGGUCAGAUGCAACGCUGAGCACUGCUAGUUGCACGUGAGAUGAAUUGUUGGCCUUGAAUGCGCCGGUAUUCUCGUCUUGCGGAGUGUGCCUUGAAUAAAACAGAGUGCUUAAAGCAGGUCAUUGCCUGAAUGUUAUAGCAUGGAACGAACAAUCGUGUAUUAGCGUGAGUCKCAGUUUGGUAGCGAGCCUCGGGUUUGUUGUCAGACUAGUCGCACGCGGCACCCACCAAAUAUGGCUGUUGGUUCCCAUAUACGGUGAUGAUUAACAGGAGCGGUUGGGGGCAUCAGUAUUUGAUCGCGAGAGGUGAAAUUCUUAGACCGAUCAAGGACUAACAAAUGCAAAGGCACUUGUCUAGACCGUUUCCAUUAAUCAAGAACGAAAGUGGGAGGUUCGAAGAUGAUCAGAUACCAUCGUAGUUCCCACUGUAAACUAUGCCGACCUGGGAUUAGUUUACAGAUGUUACAAGCUGUAAAUUAGUCCCCCUGGGAAACCUCAAGUUUUUCGGUUACGGGGAGAGUAUGGUCGCAAGGCUGAAACUUAAAGGAAUUGACGGAAGGGCACCACCAGGGGUGGAGCCUGCGGCUUAAUUUGACUCAACACGGGGAAACUUACCUGGUCCGGACAUCGAUAGGAUUAACAGAUCGAUAGCUCUUUUAUGAUGCGAUGAGUGGUGGUGCAUGGCCGUUCUUAGUUCGUGGAGUGAUCUGUCGGCCUAAUCGCGAUAACAGAACGAGACCACAAUCUCCAUUUAAGAGAUAGGAGAAGGCGUGCGUCGGCGUGGAGUCNCAAGAUUUUACG
rnacentral:rRNA from 1 species